UGGGGAAUCUUCCGCAAUGGGGCGCAAGCCUGACGGAGCAACGCCGCGUGAGUGAAGAAGGGUUUCGACUCGUAAAGCUCUGUUGUCGGGGACGAAUGUCAGGACUCAAAAUAUGGGUUCUGAAUGACGGUACCUGACGAGGAAGCCACGGCUAACUACGCGCCAGCAGCCGCGGUAAUACGUAGGUGGCAAGCGUUGUCCGGAAUUAUUGGGCGUAAAGCGCGCGCAGGCGGCUUCUUAAGUCCAUCUUAAAAGUGCGGGGCUUAACCCCGUGAUGGGAUGGAAACUGAGAGGCUGGAGUAUCGGAGAGGAAAGUGGAAUUCCUAGUGUAGCGGUGAAAUGCGUAGAGAUUAGGAAGAACACCGGUGGCGAAGGCGACUUUCUGGACGACAACUGACGCUGAGGCGCGAAAGCGUGG
rnacentral:rRNA from 1 species